UACGGAGGAUCCAAGCGUUAUCCGGAAUCAUUGGGUUUAAAGGGUCCGUAGGCGGCUUUGUAAGUCAGUGGUGAAAGCCCAUCGCUCAACGGUGGAACGGCCAUUGAUACUGCAAGACUUGAAUUAUUAGGAAGUAACUAGAAUAUGUAGUGUAGCGGUGAAAUGCUUAGAGAUUACAUGGAAUACCAAUUGCGAAGGCAGGUUACUACUAAUGGAUUGACGCUGAUGGACGAAAGCGUGGGGAGCGAACAGG
rnacentral:rRNA from 1 species